rnacentral:rRNA from 1 species
GGGUCAGUAGGUUGAUCGUGCCACCGGUACGUACUGGUCUCACUGAUUCCUCCCUCCUGAAGAACCGUAAUGCCAUUAAUUUGGUGUUGCGGGGAAACAGGACUGUUACUUUGAAAAAAUUAGAGUGUUUAAAGCAAGCUAACGCUUGAAUACAUUAGCAUGGAAUAAUGAAAUAGGACGAUCGAUCCUAUUUUGUUGGUUUCUAGGAUUGACGUA